rnacentral:rRNA from 1 species
GCCAGACUCCUACGGGAGGCAGCAGUGAGGAAUAUUGGUCAAUGGUCGGGAGACUGAACCAGCCAAGCCGCGUGAGGGAGGAAGGUACAGAGUAUCGUAAACCUCUUUUGUCAGGGAACAAAGGCGGGGACGUGUCCCCGGAUGAGUGUACCUGAAGAAAAAGCAUCGGCUAACUCCGUGCCAGCAGCCGCGGUAAUACGGAGGAUGCGAGCGUUAUCCGGAUUUAUUGGGUUUAAAGGGUGCGCAGGCGGUCUGUUAAGUCAGGGGUCAAAGCCCGGGGCUCAACCUCGUCGAGCCGUUGAAACUGGGUGCCUUGAGUGGGCGAGAAGUACGCGGAAUGCGUGGUGUAGCGGUGAAAUGCAUAGAUAUCACGCAGAACUCCGAUUGCGAAGGCAGCGUACCGGCGCCCAACUGACGCUGAGGCACGAAAGCGUGGGUAUCGAACAGGAUUAGAUACCCCAGUA